rnacentral:tRNA from 1 species
UAUAUUUUAGUGUAUGAUGCACAAUAAAUUUUGAAUUUAUGAGUAACAGUUUAAUUCUGUUAAAUAUAAU